UAACCAUGCAUAGUAAACAACUCAACUUUAUUCGCAUUUUUUGUGACGUUUAUUGCUGUUGCGCGUUAUUUUGUGACCCUAUUAUUGUGUGAUGAUAUAAUUGGAAUAUUGUAACAAAAAAACUCUUCAUUUAUUAAGUUUAUAUUACUAAUGUGAUAGUUCUAAACGAUAGCUGUUUGCUAAAGUAAUAUCUCAUCAAAAUUACUUAUUUUUUACUGGAUAUCCAGAAACAAAUCAAGCAAGUCAGGGUAGAGUAAAGAGUCAAGCUCAAAAUGUAAUUCCAAGGUUUCAAGUUCAAUGCUAUAUUUUCCCUGUUAUAAAGGUUGUGUAAAGAGAAGCCAGAUAAAGUAUACAAGGUUUUGCAAAUUUCAAGUGUGCCCACAAGGCUCACCAAGUGUACAGUUAAGAAAUUAAGUCCAAUUUGCAAGGUAAAGUCAAGUUGAAACAAAAGAAUUCAAGCAUAUAAAAGGUAGCAUUCAAGACCUUAUUUUGUAAAGAAUCAGAUAUGUAGUUGGCUUGUAAAGAACCGAAAAAGUAUUACAAGUUUUCAAGUAAAGUAACAAGUCGUCAAAGGAUACUCAAAUUUGCAAGCUACAAAACUUGCUUUGGAAAAAUAAAGUACAGAAAAGUUAAAGAGUCCGCAAGGUAAAGUCAAGUUGAAACAAAAGAGUUCAAGUAAAUAAAAGUUAAUCAAGUUCUUAUAUCUAAACGGAUCUCGGAUACGUUUUGGGCUUGUAAAGAUCACAAGUAAUCAAGUAAAGUUACAAGUCUCCUCAAAAGACAAGUUUCGUUUAAAGAUACAAAGGUCUAACAUAUUUGCAGCUAAGAACACAAGCGGUAUAGCAAGUAGUCAAGUCUCCAUAAAAAGAUCAAAUGGCAGGCCAUGAUGUUCGUUUCGGAAAAAGUACAGAAAAUUAAGAGGUAAAUGGGAAACAGUUUUAUUAAAAUCUUAAAUUAAGAAAUUAAGCAUAAAUUUGAUAGCUUACUGCUUAUAAAUUUGUUAGAUAAAAUUUGAUAAAUACUGAAAUUUUUUAACUUAUGUUGCACUUAAAAUAAAGAGAAAUAAUAGAUACUA